CUCCUCCUUCCUGCAGGGAAGCGACAACCCUUAGUUUGGCAAGUUGUCUACCUAUGGGGCGGGGAGAAUAGGAGGUCCUACUGGUGCAGGAGGUCACAAGGCACCCUUUGGAGCUGCGGUUAUGGGAGAAGGGUGCUAGGAACUGCACUCAGGUCCUCUGGAAGACUGAGCCAUCUCUCUAGGUUCCACAGAAUGUUGCUAGUUAAGUGCCUCUUGUUUCUUCCACUCCUCACCCAUCCCUGACACCUCCCUCUCCUCCCUCCCUAGUGAAUGCCUUCUAUACUCAGUGGUGUGUCUUUUUUUCCCCCACACAGUUUCCUUGGGCCAGAGUGCUCUGUCUCUGCACUCUAGCUCCAGUAUCUGAAGACAAAUAUUACCUCACAGAGCUGUGCCCAGGGUCCCAGCCCACAGGAAUGGUGCCGCCCACAUUCAGAGCGGGGCUUUCUAGAAUCCAGAGACUCCUUGACAGCUAUCGCCAGAGGUUUGUUUCCAUGGUGACUCUAAAUUCCAUCAUGGGGAGAUUAAGAUCACCCAUUGCACCUGCCUUGAAGAUGGGUUUUCUAUUUCUAUCCCAGUGAGGUCUUGGAAAGGAUGUCAACCAGUGUGAACCUGCUUCCUUAUCUGCUAAUGGGGGCCGAGUGCAAGUGCCUAAGCAUCCGGGCCUUUUCUCUGGUAAGCGGCAUCCCUGUUUUGUGUCUGUUUCCAUGGUUCCUUUCAGGGUAAGACCCAUUUGCUACUUUUAAAGAUGGGUGCACGGCCUUGGCUUGGCCCAAUUAGGAGUAUUUUGUGUAGCCUCGGGCCUUGGUAAUUGGUUCAAAGAUGGGAACGUGAUCAAGUCUGAGCCAAUGAGCAUCGACCCAUGAGGUUGCAGGAGACAGCAGUGCAGAGAACUCACCCUU
rnacentral:sRNA from 1 species